CGCGUAGGCGGGCCACCAAGUCUGUGGUGAAAGCCCCCGGCUUAACCGGGGAAGUGCCGUGGAUACUGGUGGUCUUGAGGGGUGCAGGGGCAUGCGGAACUUCCGGUGGAGCGGUGAAAUGCGUAGAUAUCGGAAGGAACGCCGGUGGCGAAAGCGGCGUGCUGGACACCUACUGACGCUGAGGCGCGAAAGCCAGGGGAGCAAACGGGAUUAGAUACCCCGGUAGUCCUGGCCCUAAACGAUGGGUACUAGGCCGUGGGCUUGACAUGGGCUCACAGCCGAAGCAAAAGUGCUAAGUACCCCGCCUGGGGAGUAUGGUCGCAAGGCUGAA
rnacentral:rRNA from 1 species